rnacentral:rRNA from 1 species
GACAGAGGGUGCAGACGUUGUUCGGAAUUACUGGGCGUAAAGCGCGUGUAGGCUGCUCGGAAAGUCGGAUGUGAAAGCCCUGGGCUCAACCUAGGAAGUGCAUUCGAAACUUCCGAGCUGGAGUACUGGAGAGGAAGGCGGAAUUCUCGGUGUAGAGGUGAAAUUCGUAGAUAUCGAGAGGAACACCGGUGGCGAAGGCGGCCUUCUGGACAGUAACUGACGCUGAGACGCGAAAGCGUGGGGAGCAAACAGG